CAAGGCUAUGUUCACAUCUCCGCUUAUCAUUUCCAUUGUUCUGUUCCAUUACAGGAGCAGAACAACUAAAAGGAAUGGCGCUCAAUGGGCCCCAUUGACUAUAAUAGGAUCAGUUGGGUGCCAAAAAACCUUUCUGAGCUCCAGAUUGUGUUUCAGAUACACUGAACAGGGCCUUGCAAGUUGCUGAGUUGCAAUCAGGAAGAGUUACUAUCUCCAAUUCAAAAGCUAGAUUCUGGAAACAUUCAAUAACAGGUCAGCCAAAAGCUGCAGGAAAGGGCAAAGCAACAGCCCAAAUGCAUGUCUCCAAUGGAACAACUCAAUCGUACAUUAGUCUUCCAUUCUUACCUUCACCAAGAGGAAUGUCACAUUUGCAAUGUGUUUCUCCUUAGUCAUCUACAUUCAGGAAGCAGGUAAAGUAAAUGUACUAUAACUAUACUUACAAAGAAGCAAGGCAACCAUAAGAGUAAAUGACUUCAGGGCCAUGGUGGCAAUUUGGAAACUGUUGACUUCCUUGGAUCAGUGACCUUCACACCAAGACUUUGAUGCAAGGAUCUCACAAAUCAGACCCUGAAGACCACUGACACGCAGACCGAUUCACAACUAAACAUUUUGCUAAGGGAUAUUGAGAAUACUGCUAACAGGAUAAUUAAUUGUUAAUUAGAAGCAUUUCAGAAUGCUGACGUGGGAAUGUCUCUCUAGGAUUGAGUCAUACUAUACUGGCCAAGUAUGUGUGUGUGUGUAAGAUAAUUUAAAAAAUAUUUAUGAAAAAAAAACAUCUCCCACUCAUAUGGACCCAGCACAUCCAUUUAUUAUAUGGUCAGAUGUUACUUUGAAUGGCAGGCCUGUAAUCCAAAAUUUCCACUGUAGCAGAAAUCUUCCCAGUGGUACCAACUGAUUUCCAGGGGGUCUAGAAGCCAUGUCCAUUGUGAUCAGCUGAUCGACAGAGUGUCAGCUGACCUUGGAGUCAGAUAAACUGCAACAUCCGGAUCAGAACAAGGAUAAGCAACACAAAGCAGAAAUGAAUUAUUACCGUCUGAAUUUACAUAGCUUACAGACUAGCCCAAGCAGAAGGUACGCCAACAUUUAUCACUGUGACUGUGAUAGAUUUGGGGCAUCUUGCUAGACAUGUUAUACAAUUUUUCAUUGACUUAUUUUAAGGCAACAUUUUGUGCUAACAUUUUGGCACAAAUUGGCAUAUUUUAAGGCACUUUCCUAAGCCACAGCCUUUUUCUGUUAAGCCGCACCCCUAUCUAUACACUUUUCAGAGCAGUCUACUGAGGAGCAAAAAGUGUCUAAAACAUACAAUAAAUCUGGCACAUACACCAUUUUUUACA